GGCAGACAAUGUAAUAGAGCAGCAGGAAAUGCUAGCAAAAUGCUUGGUUGUAUAGGGAGAGGUUUUAGCAGUAGAAAGAGGGAAGAGGGAAGUGCUCAUGCCAUUGUACAGAACACUGGUGAGACCUCACUUGGAGUAUUGUACACAGUACUGGAGACCGUAUCUUCAGAAGGAUAUUGAUACCUUAGAGAGGGUUCAGAGAAGGGCUACUAAACUGGUUCAUGG